rnacentral:rRNA from 1 species
GGCGGCAGGCCUAACACAUGCAAGUCGAUCGGUAUCAGGAAGCAGCUUGCUGCUAUGCUGACGAGUGGCGGACGGGUGAGUAAUGUCUGCGAUACUGCCUGAUGGAGGCGGAUAACUACUGGAAACGGUAGCUAAUACCGCAUAACGUCGCAAGCACAAAGAGGCGGACCUUAGGGCCUCUUGCCAUCGGAUGUGCCCAGAUGGGAUUAGCUAGUAGGUGGGGUAACGGCUCACCUAGGCGACGAUCCCUAGCUGGUCUGAGAGGAUGACCAGCAACACUGGAACUGAGACACGGUCCAGACUCCUACGGGAGGCAGCAGUGGGGAAUAUUGCACAAUGGGCGCAAGCCUGAUGCAGCCAUGCNGCGUGUAUGAAGAAGGCCUUCGGGUUGUAAAGUACUAUCAGCGCGGAGGAAGGGAGUAAAGUUAAUACCUAUGCUCAUUGACGUUACCCGCAGAAGAAGCACCGGCUAACUCCGUGCCAGCAGCCGCGGUAAUACGGAGGGUGCAAGCGUUAAUCGGAAUUACUGGGCGUAAAGCGCACGCAGGCGGUUUGUUAAGUCAGAUGUGAUAUCCGCGGGCUCAACCUGGGAACUGCAUCUGAUACUGGCAAGCUUGAGUCUCGUAGAGGCGGGUAGAAUUCCAGGUGUAGCGGUGAAAUGCGUAGAGAUCUGGAGGAAUACCGGUGGCGAAGGCGGCCCCCUGGACGAAGACUGACGCUCAGGUGCGAAAGCGUGGGGAGCAUACAGGAUUAGAUACCCUGGUAGUCCACGCCGUAAACGAUGUCGACUUGGAGGUUGUGCCCUUGAGGCGUGGCUUCCGGAUCUAACGCGUUAAGUCGACCGCCUGGGGAGUACGGCCGCAAGGUUAAAACUCAAAUGAAUUGACGGGGGCCGCACAAGCGGUGGAGCAUGUGGUUUAAUUCGAUGCAACGCGAAGAACCUUACCUGGUCUUGACAUCCACGGAAGUAUUCAGAGAUGAGAAUGUGC